UACGUAGGGUGCAAGCGUUAAUCGGAAUUACUGGGCGUAAAGCGUGCGCAGGCGGUUUUGUAAGUCUGUCGUGAAAUCCCCGGGCUCAACCUGGGAAUUGCGAUGGAGACUGCAAGGCUAGAGUUUGGCAGAGGGGGUAGAAUUCCACGUGUAGCAGUGGAAAUGCGUAGAUAUGUGGAGGAACACCGAUGGCGAAGGCAGCCCCUGGGUCAAGACUGACGCUCAUGCACGAAAGCGUGGGGAGCAAACAGG
rnacentral:rRNA from 1 species